GCCAGACUCCUACGGGAGGCAGCAGUGGGGAAUAUUGCACAAUGGGGGAAACCCUGAUGCAGCGACGCCGCGUGAGUGAAGAAGUAUUUCGGUAUGUAAAGCUCUAUCAGCAGGGAAGAAAAUGACGGUACCUGAUUAAGAAGCCCCGGCUAACUACGUGCCAGCAGCCGCGGUAAUACGUAGGGGGCAAGCGUUAUCCGGAUUUACUGGGUGUAAAGGGAGCGUAGACGGUGAUGCAAGUCAGAAGUGAAAGCCCGGGGCUCAACUCCGGGACUGCUUUUGAAACUGUGUAACUGGAGUGCAGGAGAGGUAAGCGGAAUUCCUGGUGUAGCGGUGAAAUGCGUAGAUAUCAGGAGGAACACCAGUGGCGAAGGCGGCUUACUGGACUGUAACUGACGUUGAGGCUCGAAAGCGUGGGGAGCAAACAGGAUUAGAUACCCGAGUA
rnacentral:rRNA from 1 species